UACGAAGGGGGCUAGCGUUGCUCGGAAUCACUGGGCGUAAAGGGUGCGUAGGCGGCCAUGUAAGUCAGGAGUGACAGUUUGCGGCUCAACCGUAAAAUUGCUUUUGAUACUGCAUGGCUGGAAUCAGGAUGAGGUCAGCGGAAUGUGGCAUGUAGCGGUGAAAUGCAUAGAUAUGCCAUAGAACACCAAUUGCGAAGGCAGCUGGCUAGACCUGUAUUGACGCUGAGGCACGAAAGCGUGGGGAGCGAACAGG
rnacentral:rRNA from 1 species